CCUACGGGAGGCAGCAGUGGGGAAUAUUGGGCAAUGGAGGAAACUCUGACCCAGCGACGCCGCGUGCGGGAUGAAGGCCUUCGGGUUGUAAACCGCUUUCAGUAGGGAAGAAGCGAAAGUGACGGUACCUACAGAAGAAGCACCGGCUAACUAUGUGCCAGCAGCCGCGGUAAUACAUAGGGUGCAAGCGUUGUCCGGAAUUAUUGGGCGUAAAGAGCUCGUAGGUGGUUCGUCACGUCGGAUGUGAAAAUCUGGGGCUCAACCCCAGACCUGCAUUCGAUACGGGCGAUCUAGAGUGUGGUAGGGGAGACUGGAAUUCCUGGUGUAGCGGUGGAAUGCGCGGAUAUCAGGAGGAACACCAAUGGCGAAGGCAGGUCUCUGGGCCAUUACUGACACUGAGGAGCGAAAGCGUGGGGAGCGAACAGGAUUAGAUACCCUGGUAGUCCACGCCGUAAACGGUGGGCACUAGUUGUGGGAACCUUCCACGGUUUCUGCGACGCNGCUACGCAUAGUCGCCCGCCGUCGGGAGGUACGANCGCAGAAUAAACUACAACGAAGUAGACGGCGUGAGACGUGCCGACGGACGACGACGAGGGAGGUAGG
rnacentral:rRNA from 1 species